rnacentral:rRNA from 1 species
CCUACGGGAGGCAGCAGUGGGGAAUUUUGCGCAAUGCUCGUAAGAGUGACGCGGCGACGCCGCGUGAAUGACGAAGGCCUUCGGGUCGUAAAGUUCUUUCGACAGGGAAGAAAAUGCCUAUAAGUAACUGUGUAUGUAUUGACGGUACCUGUAUAAGCAGCCCCGGCUAACUCCGUGCCAGCAGCCGCGGUAAUACGGAGGGGGCGAGCGUUGUUCGGAGGGACUGGGCGUAAAGAGCACGUAGGCGGUGUUGUAAGUCAUUAGUCAAAGACUAGAGCUCAACUUUAGUAAGGCUAGUGAUACUAUAAUACUAGAGUAUCAGAGAGGAUUGCAGAAUUCCUGGUGUAGCGGUGAAAUGCGUAGAGAUCAGGAGGAAUACCGUUAGCGAAGGCGGCAAUCUGGCUGGAAACUGACGCUGAGGUGCGAAAGCGUGGGUAGCAAACAGGAUUAGAUACCCCUGUAGUC